ensembl:lncRNA
UUUUUUUUUUUUUUGUCUUUUGUCUUUUGUUGUUGUUGUUGCUAUUUCUUGGGCCGCUCCCGCGGCAUAUGGAGGUUCCUAGUCGGAUUCGUUAACCACUGCGUCACAAUGGGAACUCCAGAAUGUAUUUUCUUUUCAUAAAUGGAAAAAUAAACCUUCAUAGCAUUAUUUAUUUAGCCAAAUGCUAAAAUGCUAAUGUAUUUUUACCCUCUGAGGAUGGUGCCAGUGGAGAAGCCUCACAGCUUCAAAGGUAACUUGGGCAAUGAGCUCUGUCAUUUUCAAGGUUUAAAUAAGACUUUUUUUGAAUUCGAAACAAUUCGACUUUGCUCUUUGUGGAAUGGUAAUGUGAGAACUCUAUCUAGAAUUAAAAAUUCACUCUGACUCUUGGACAAGUGAUUUAAUCCCCUUUAAAAAGUUAAAAUGAUGUUCUGAGGAAAUUAAAAUCUGCAAUGAUUAAUGUAACCAUGAAAAUAAGCACUGACAUUUGCAAAAUAAAUUAGGGCCCCAAAGCCCAUAACACCAGUCUAAACAUGAAAAAAAAAAAAAAAAAUCAGAAAAACCCAAAUUGAGAGCAGCAUUCUACAAAAUACUCCUCAAAAGAGUCAAGGUCACAAGAAGCAAGGAAAGACCGAGAAACUGUCACAGGCCAGAGGACACAAAGACAGGGCGACUGAACAUGGUGUGGUAUCCUGAGUUAGGGCCUGGAACAGAGAAACAUUAGUGGGAAAAGCAGGUGAAAUCCAAAUGAAGUUUGGAGUUUAGUUGGUAGUCACUCAGCAAUGUUGGCGUUUUAAUUCUGAUGACUGUACCAUGGUAAUGUAAGAUGUUAACACUGCAGGUUGACCAACCCUCUCAGUGUGCCUGGGAGGGAGCCUUGCUGCUACAUUUUCAGAGAUAGAUGUUUGCAGCAAACUCUGUGGGGUUACUCAUUUUGCCUUUUUAUGCAUUCAUUUUUAGCAUACAUUAAAUAAGCUCUUGAAUGUUGGUGCUUCUUUCCUUUCCAUUGCUUUAUCCGUGGAUUUUUACCUACUUUCAAAAUAUUCAUUCCUAAACCUUUGUUCAUAUGUUUUCACCUCCUCCUCAAAAAAGUUUCCAUGAUUAGUUAAUGGACCUCUCUAUGUACAGGUCCCUGUGCUGGUCUUAUGGAGUCUUUCCCUUUCGGUACUCAACUAGAUUUUUUAAAUUGAAAAUUCUUUUUUUUCUUCCAUUAAAAAAAAAUCAAGAUAUAAUUUAUAUAUAGUAAAGCACCCUUUUCAGGCAUAAUUCUGUGAAUUUUUGACUACUGUACCAGAUUUCUUACAAUUAUAAUCAAAUACUUUUCUUGAUUCUUAAUAGAUGUUUGAAUUUAUCAGUAAAGUUAAAGGUGACUUGAAAUACUUAUACACUAUGUCUGUACCAGUUACAAUAAAUAAAACUCUCAUUAAAUUAUUGCUCAUUUCCUAAAUAUUCCUUUUCUCCUGAGUUCAAGAUUCAGAAUUAUUAAGUUUAAAUUUCAUGGAGGAUAAGACAUUGGCAGAUUUGGUAGGAAAUCAAAGAUUGAAAGUAUAAGAAAGUUACGAUUUAAUUUUAAAAGUCAGCAUGGAUUCACAUCUAACAUGAUUCAGUUAUGUGAGAUAACCUCUGGGUCUAAUGACAAAUAUCUGCUGAGAGAAUCCAUGAACCAAUUAACCUGGGAUAAAGCACCAUGAAAAGAAUACUAUAAAAACAACUAAUCUAGAAGUUAGAGAAGUAUGGUAGAGGGAUGAACUACUUAAGAAGAUUAAACAUUGCCUUUGAUAUCAAAGUGUGGAAUAGUUUGGAAUGGAUGGAUUGCAAAGCUCUAGGGAUCAAUAUUAGGACCAAUUUUAUUCAUUUUAUAUGUCAGUGACUUAGAAGAAGGAACAUGCAGUAAGCUUGUUCUACAAAACCAGAGGGAGGGACAGUCAAUACAAAGAAGGAAUGAAAUGACUUGAGUAGACUAGGAACAUAAGCAGAUGAGUGGCUUAUUCAAUUCAAGGUAGAGGAAAUAUGAAGUAGAAAGAUUAUCCCACAGUAAUAUGAAGUCACAAUGUUCAAAAAAAGAGUAAAAGAGUGAAAACUCAUUAGGUAAGUAAAUAAGCAUGCUAAAAAGAAAUUAAUUUAAAUGCUAUGACUAAGAGGAAUAUUGACUAUAGAAUUUAAAUAUGAAUAUUUUAAAUAAAAUAUUAAGUAUAUUUUAAUGUACUAGCCUAUGAAAAUAACUCACUAGAAUAUAUAAAAUUAGAGCAAAAAUAAUGACACUUGCUGUCAAGCAUGAAAGAACACUUGCAUUCUGGGUAGUCUGUCAAUACCAGAAAUAUUUUAAAUUAGGUGGUAGAGUCACCUAAUGUAUUAUUUAUUAUGCUUUAUAAUUACUAUACAUUGCACAUAUUUUAUAUAUAUCAAGGAUAUAUAAUAAAAACUUUAAAGAUUUCCUCACAGGUAUUUGAUGAUUUGUUUGGCUGGUGAAUACCAGUUUUGUAGCCCCUUUACAAUCAGCAGGUCAUACUACUGGAAGUUUCUCCAUCAAAAUAAGAUGCCUGAAACCUUAAUCCUAACAGAAUCCAAAUUUAUGGCUUAUUAAAAUCAGUGAACCAUUCAACAGAUGUUUGUUGAGUAUCUUCUGUUUUCUCAACAGACUUUUCUCUUGAACUUAUAUUAAACAUAUCUCUUUUGAUAAAGCAUAGAAAUAUAACAUGUUCCUUUAAUCUCUGAAAUUCAAAAAGUUAAUGAUGUUAUAGAUUAAAAAAAAAAGUCCCCAUGGGACACACAGCCAUUUCCUUUUCAAAUCAUAUUCCUCUUCCUGGAGAAUCACUGCUUACGAGCCACAGAAGAAGGAUGAGACAUCAUGCUUGGGCACAAAAUACGUAUGAUUUAAACCGUGGUGAAAACGCUGUCAUGAAUUAAGUGUGAUAUUAAGGGUACAUACUCUUAGUGUAACAGAAAGUUAAAAGCGAGGGAAUUACUAACUGCUGGAAGCAAUGGCUUUAUGGAAUGAGGUUAGGGCUUGAACUGAGGCUUAAAGGCUUGUUAGAAUUUGCAUGUGCACAGGGGAGAGGGAAGAACAGUCCUGGUGGUGGAGUGAAUAAAUACGGGGCAGUGAGGGCUUUCCAAAGAGACUUUUGUAUGCAUUAGAUCAUGGGACUCACUAACACUUUAUGAGGUAAAGGAAGGUUCAUUUGGUGGCAGAUACAGAGAAGAAGGUGGCAGAUGUACCAUCUAGAGUUGCAGAAGUCCAGACAGGGCAAAACAUGCUUUGAUCUUGAUCAGAAGGAGCUGACUAACCCUCAGUGAUUUCUGAGUUUGGAGGAUACUCCUUUGGCAAUGCAUCUAGUGGACUUUAGACUUUGUUAUUUCUCUUCUGAGUUUUUGUACAUUUCUAUUUUGUCUUUAAAUGGAUUAUCUGCUUCUUGCAAGUAGGGGUCAUGCAGUAUCUUACAGAGUAGGAUUCAAUGAAUGUUGUGGUGUUGGUGAAAGGGUAGCUGACAGAGAUUCUGUGGGAAAAUGUAUUAGCUCCUGGUAACUGGCUGCCAGUGGGAGAGGAAAGGGAGAAAUGCGUCAAAGGCAAUUUCAUGUAGGGGCAUCUAAGAAAACGAAAAGGACACUGCUGCCAGAGAGAGGAAUGUCACAAGAGAGAAGAGAGCUGGUUCUGUAGAGAAAGUUACGGGUUCAGCUUUGAACAUUCUGAGUCUGAGGUAAAAGUGAGACAUUCCAGAGGAGUUUACAGUGCUUGAGGAUAUGGAACUGGAAUUCAGGUGACAGGAGACAAUGAAAGAGAAGAUGUGACAUUGAAAUUUAUAUAUGGCUGAAGUUGCCGGAAUGGUUGAGCUGCCAGAGAAGGAGCUUGUAAAGAAAAGCUCAGGGAAUCAAAAACUGAGUCAGGAGCAAUGUUCCUUUUAUAGGGCCUAGAAGGAGGAAAAGAAACCCUAAACCUGCACUGUCCAGCAUGGUAGUCACUAGCCACACUCAGCCAUCUAAAUUUAGAUUAAUUAAAAUUAAAUACCAUUUAAAACUCAGUUUCUGAGUCACAAGAGCCGCAUUUCAAGUGCUCACUAGCCUUAUGUGGAUAGUGGCUACUGUAAUGACAGUGUGAACAGAAUGUUUCCCUCAUCAUAGUUUUAUUGGACAGUAUUGCAGAGAUAGAGAGAAAUUCUCAUUUGAGAAAAAAACAGAGAGCAGAGGAGAGCUUACAGUGUCAAAUGCUGAAAAAGAAUGAAAUCGGACUAGGGGCCAUCCAUGGAUUUGGCCAUAAGGAAGCCAUUGGAGUCCUUUGAGAUAGCAAGACAACAGUUAGAGAAAACGGCAGAAUCAGUGGAGGGUUUUAAGGAUGGGAGACUUGUUUAUGUUUGGAGCAUGGACAGAGGCCAGUGAAGAUGCUAAGGGUUUUGUCUGGGAGAAACUCCCUGUUUCUCUUUUUAUUCUCACAUUCACAAUCUUCAGAACACUUCACUUCUCGUCACCAAGUGUGUGUGUUUAGUCCCACAUCAACCAAUUCUCCACCAUCAGCUGAGUGUCCUACAACUCGGCUCUGACACUGUCUCUCUGGAAUUAGUGUCAGCUCCCACAGGUGAAAGGCUCAGCCCCAUAGCCUGCCCCACUUCAGACACCAGUCGAAGCUCGUAGGUAGUUUCCCAGUACUGACCGAAUGGCUACAAAUCGGGGUUCCCAUAAUAUGCACCUUGGGUUUGAUAAUUUGCUUGAAUGUUUCACAGACCCCAGGGAAAACACAUUUACCAUAAAGAUAUAAAUGAGCAACUAGAUGAAGAGCUAUAGAGAGAGAGGUCCAGGGAAGGGGUGAGGUACUCCCAUCCCCUCUCCUGGCAUGCUACCUUCCCAGCACCUGGCAACCCGAAAGCUCUCUGAACCUCAUACUUUAGGGAUUCUUAUGGCAGCUUCGUCACGUAGCCAUGACAGAUUAUUAACUCAUUUUCCAACCGCUCUCCAGAGGAUGCGGUGGGGCUGAAAGUUCUGUUUCUAACCAUGGCUUGGUCUUUAUAGUGAUCAGCCCUCAUCCAGGAGACCACCUAAAAUCAUCUCAUUAGAACAAAAGAUACUUCUUUUGUUCUUCUAUCAUCCAGGAAAUUCCAAGGGAUUUAGGAACUCUGUGUUAAGAUUCAGGGUCACAGACCAAAUAUUUGAACAAAGGAUGCACCCUGGUGCUUUUAUCGCUUAGGGAAUCACAAAAGUUUUAGGAGCUCUGUGCCAGGAAUGGGGGUAAGGGGUGUGUGUGUGGGGGGGGCAGAGAGCAAUAUAUAUAUGUUUUGCUGGUAUUUCAUAGGCUCCUAAAUCCCUGCCCUGCAUUUGCUUUUCUUUUUAGCUAUGGUUUCAAGUUUACAAUAGUCUGCUGGGUAUCUCAGGAAUACCCUGCCAGCACCUCCAACUCAACACAUCUAAAACCACACUCAUGAUUGUCCAUUUCAACCCAUUCCCAUUUUUUAUAUUCCUUAUUCCAGCUCAUCUUUCUAGUUACUAAAGUUGGAAAACUUAGUCAUAUGUGAAUCAUUCUCUCCCUUCCCUCCACUCCUUUAGUCAGUCAGCUGCUUGGGCAUGCUUAUCUUACUACCUCUGCCAUAGACUCAUUUAUUAAUUUAUUCUUUUUGUUUGUUUAAAAUGAUUAUGAAAUAUUUCAGGCAAACAGGGAAGUAAUAGAGAACAACAUCAUAAUGAUAAUAUACUCAGCCCAGCUUAAGCAAAACUUAAAGCCCCUUGAAAAUCCAUUCAGAUCCCAUCCUCUUCUCCAUACCAAUCACCAUGUAAAUUUUAGCAUUUAUCAUUGCCAUGCAAGAUUUAUAGUUUUAUUCCACAUGUGUGUAUCCACACAUAGUAAAGAAUAUAAAUUGGUAUGUUUUUAAACUUUAUAUAAAAGGUGGUAUACUGUUUAUCGUGCUAUAACUUUUUUGCUGUUAUUUUGGAGAUUUAUCCAUGAUGAAUCAUCUCUUUUCACUUAUUUUAAAUGUUAUUUAAUGAAUACACCACACUUCAUUAACCAUUGUGUGUUAUUCUAUAUGUGUGCACAUACACACAUUUAUAUAAUAAAUAUAUGUGUGUGUGUGUAUAAUUGCUUUUAUUUUUUUACUCCAUCUCUUCAAUCGAAAUGGAGUAAUGGCAUGGUGCAGCAUUUAGCCAUUCUGGGGGUAACUGAAAAAAUUCUAUUUCUCAAGGAAUAGAAUUUCCAUCCAACUUUCUGCCACUUCAUUCAUUUUUUUCCCUUCUCUUACCUCUUCUAAGUAGGCCAUGGGCAUGGUUGGCUGUUUUGAGAAUAGUUGAUAAGAUAUGUUUCGUUUAUAGGAUUGAAGACCAGAAAAAAAUUCUAUUAGAAUUUUAGAUAGAGACUUAAGCAUGAAAUAUAGUAUGAAUAAAAUUCAUGUUGAAGAUUAUUGCUCAUCAUUUAAAGAUACCACACCUUAAUGGCAUCAGUUUAUUUAUUUUUAGGUAAAGUAUUAUUAAAGCAUAUUUACAAAUAUUAUUUUAAAGUAAAGCUAGGAGUUCCCAUCGUGGCUCAGUGGUUAACGAAUCCGACUAGGAACCAUGAGGUCGCGGGUUUGAUCCCUGGCCUUGCUCAGCGGGUUAAGGAUCUGGCAUUGCCGUGAGCUGUGGUGUAGGUCGAAGACGUGGCUUGGUUCCCCCACUGCAUAGGCCAGCGGCUACAGCUCUGAUUAGACCUCUAGCCUGGGAAAUCUCCAUAUGCCACGGGA